rnacentral:misc_RNA from 1 species
AUUACAGCGUGUUAGGGUUCUCUCAUGGCGGAAUUUUCUUCAAAAGAGGAGCUCGUCCGGUUGAUCAAGCGGUUCGGGAGUAAUCUAAGUGUCAAACUCUCCAGUUUAUUCUCGAUAUUGUUUCAAACCCGGAAUUUCCGAUCUCUUAGUGCUGUUGCGGGUUUGGCUCUAGCUGUAAUCUUCUCAUGGAAACUGUUUAGACCGCCUAGUGGA